GCCGUAACAACCCGCUACCUCUUCUUCGCCCUCGCCUCGGUCCGUCAGCUCGUGCCACGAUCCUCCUCCGCCGCCGCCGCCUCCUCGCUCCGGCGACCGCUCCUCUGACUCCUGACAGCUUGCGGCCAGCAGUGCCGUAUGAGGUUCGCGGGGUGGUACCUGAAGAUCGCCGUCGGCGGCGCGGCCAUAGGCGCCGCCAUGGAGCUUUUCAUGAUCCACACCGGCUUCUAUGAGAAGGUGACGGUACUGGAGUCAGAAAAACGAGCUUGGGAAAGCAGUCCAGAAGCACAAGCUAUGAGAGAAGCCUUGAAUCCAUGGCACAAGCGUGAUGAGAAGGAGAAAAAAUAGGCAAUGAUAGACUCAUCGGUCCUCCUUUCAAGUAAUUGCAUUUCCACCCUUCCAUUGUAUCGUAACCCCUUGAACAAGGUAAUAGGGAUGUGGCGUUUUUGUAGUUGUUCGAACCUGUCUCUCUGGGGUUGCUGGAUGAUAGCUUCCAGCAAUGUUCUAAAGGAGUUAUGCCCAUAUCAUAUCCAUAUGUCUUCUUCCUAACAAGGAUUCUUUUACUGUUUCCACGCAUAUGCGUCCAUUUUGAACGUCAUUCAAACUCAGUAUCUGCUAUGUUUAGCAAUGUAACAAAGAAUUUUAGACUUGCAGAGGUCAAACCAAUCUACGUCUUCCAUUCAUUUAGUGAGGACCGUCUUUUAUGUGAGUCGAUGCUAAAUUUUGUAAUCAAAGAUAUCUGGGGUACCCCUGCUGCUCCAUUAAUUCAAAUUCUAGACGUUUAUUUCUCAUGGCAUAUUGUUUAAAUUUUUUUUUCUCUUGUUUGCUGUGUCAUGUAGGUACUUUUUUCUGAAUCAGAUGUAUAUAGACACGUUUUACUGUGUUUGUUCACUCAUUUCAGUCCAUAUACAGUCCAUAUUUAAAUAUCCAAAACAUCCUAUAUUUGUGAAUGGAGGGAGUAUUCCUCAAGCCUGGCAUUUUAGACA
rnacentral:rRNA from 1 species